ACCAUGAUUGCUAUUUAUUUCAAGUUAUCAGCAAACUCUGAUGUUGUUGCAACCCCAUAGGGAGUUUAGCAAAAACCCCAAACAAAUGUAACCCUCUCCUUCACCCAAAAAAAACACCCCAAAACCAAAAUUCCUGACUGCAAAUAAACAAAAAAUUACCUUGCAUGUGUAGCUUUCAGGACCUUGCAUGCAGGACCCUAAUUAGACUCACAGAGAUUUUAGUCAAAUUAAGGAACUGUAUUUUGUAAGCUUGAUGAAUAUCUCAUUAUAUAUUAUGCCUAUCUCAGACUGUAAUAAUCAUUUCCCCAGCUGCUUUUUGCUUAAGAUGGCAAGUUAGCAGUCUACCUACUUUUCCCCCUAGCUCCCAGAAGUCUUAACAAUGUGUAAAUUCAAUGUGGGCCAUAUGCAGUUUAUUUAACCUCUCCAGGUGCUCUGGGAAAGGACUUUUAGCCUGUUACUGAUCUAAUUUGAUCUUCUGUCUUCACCUUUUCCUUAAAACCACAGCAAAACUAAUAACUCGGCCUCAAAGCAAGUCUUCAAAGCAGCUUGUCAAUUUUCCUUAAAGAAAAACUGAAGGAUCAACCACCUUUUUUUUUUUUUUUUUCCUUUUUGUAUACACAACCUGAAAUGGGGAUCUAAAAAGAGCGUGGUAUUAAAUUUCUAUUUCAUGCUUAAAGUACAUGCAGUAUGUUUUAUGGUAAUGAAUGCACAAUCAGAGAUUAGGAGUACAUCAACUGAGGAGUUGAACACAGCUCCCAUGAGGACAGGAGGAAAAAAAGAAUAAUCAACCUAUGAAUACAGCCUUUAUUACAAUACUUCAGGUCUAGAACAUCUUAUUUAUGACUUGAGUGGAAAGAUUUAUGUACUAUUAAUUCCAGAUUUCAUUAGACUUAUGUACAGUUAUGAUAAGGAUGUGUACAUCUCUGGAAGCUUGUCAAAAUAUCUAUGAAAAUUCUGCAUGGUGAAUUCCCCUGGUCACAGACCACAUGUCUUACAUGAUGGUUUCUCAGGCAGACCAUGUUCUUCUCCUAGUCUGUUCUUACAAAGCAAACUCAGCACGUAGAGCUGUUUUUGUGCUCUGUCUGUAUAAACCCCAGCACAGUGGGAUUCUUCUACACUGGGAUUUUAGAGUGUUAGGACAAUGCAGAUAAUAAAAAUCAAAACAAUUACAGUAUGAAACAACACAUGAAACCAAAUUCAGCACUGUACAACAACAGCUUGCAAGAAACCUGAUCCAACUCAAAUCUGCCCUUUGCUCUAUAACUUCCCCUGUGAAGUCUUGAAAAUGCAUUAUUUUGGAGAUGGGACUGUGUCAAAAAACUCAACUUUAAAAAAAAAAAGUCUUCAUUGUGUAGGGUGGUUUCUUUACACGGGAAUACAGAAAAUUCCAUUAUCUACCUUCAGGGUUCGGCUUUGGGGCCAAGAACUCUUGGCCCUCAACAUACCGUGUGAAGUCCUCAGACAGGUCAAGUAUUUCUGAGGCAAAUACCAGCAAACUCCUGUUGUCCCACGCCUUGGAGCUCCCUGUGGGUCUGAGGCUGUGUCUGUGGGAUCUGCUCUCCAGAUCAGCCCAUUUUCACGGGGGGUUUCCCCAAGGUGGGCAGCGAUGCCAUGCAGUGAAUCCCCUGUGAGCACACAGAACCUGCCUGGAGGAGGGAGGGAGGCACUGCAGGUGCCCUGGUACCUCCAGAGAUGAGGGGGCUUUGCUGCAGCUUGGCUCAGCCCAGAGGAGGGAGCAGAGCCUACAGGAGGAUGGAUUGUGGAGGAGUCAGCUUGCUUCUGGAUUUACUGGAAGUUAGUUAAGUAACCAUAUACAGAGGAUGUAACUAGUAAUCAGGUCAUGAAUCUCUGCUUACAGAUAUUCUUGUAAGAAGCCAAGCACAUUUGGCAAGCCUGGCAUUGUCUCAUAUUAUUAGCUGGCAAAUAGUGCACAAAGUCUUUCAGUCCAGCAAGAGCAACAGCAAAGAAGAGAUUGCAAUUGACAGGAAGACAAUAAAAACAUCUCUGAGCACGGAACAAAGAAGGGACUUGGAACAACAGGAGCACUAAAUUCCAAGACUUCUAUAAGCAUGGAAAGAAGUAUUCAGUCCAUGACCAAGUAGAUCAUGGGUAUUCAAAAUACGAAAAUUAAGGAAAUAAUUUAAAAGCGAAUACUUUGAUGUCCUACUAACUUGAAAUAGAAAAAACAAAAUAAUAAGAUCCAAUUACCUAAAAUAUUUGGUAAAUAGACAAAAAAUACCUUUGAUAAAUGACUGAAAAUGGAGAAUAACAUGUCAGCUCCUGGAAUAAGCAAAGGGAAUAAAUUCUUGCUUAAAAUGUAUUGCUCAGAGGCUUGGCAUCCAUGUCUACAUAUAGAGAUCAGAAAGAUUCAUUAAACACAGGAAAGAUCAUUCAUGGAUGAAUAAUUUAGGCGAUCCCAACAUAAAGGACUGACCGCCGAGAGAAACAGCCCAAACUCAACAAGUGUUUCUGAACAGAAAGCACUGAGUUGCUGAAAAUAUACAUAUACUAGAUGAACUGAGAGUGAAGAGCAAGUAUACCAGAGGCUGGAGCACAAGGAAUCCAGGUGAGACAGGCAUAAACUUGUCAAAUGCAUAGGCAACAUGAUGUCAAAAUUAAAAUGAAAAAUAAGAAUGGAGCACACCUCUGUGCACCCCAAAGUACUCCUAAAAAAACCCAAAUAAAAUAAAAAAUGCCUUUAGCCUGUCACUGUAACCACAGAAAGUACAGAAAAGCCACCUCAGGACACCAGGGUAGGCAGGCAGUCCACUGCAGCAGAGAGGGCAAGGACUGGGGGCUCCUUUAGGAGAGUUCACCUCAGUCUGGCCCUCAAAAUUACCCAGAAUAACCCUAAAUGUGGGAGUCACUGGCAGAGCAGAGGUAGAUACAAGGAUAGGGCUGGAGGAAAGCUUAAGAGAGAGAUCAUGCAGAAACCAGAGCAGGGUCUUGGCUGCCAGCAGCAGCCAGCCCUGCGAGAAGCCAUGACUUCCCAUCCCCAGACAGGCUGCAAGGGAACCCCCCCAGUUUUCAAACUUGAAGGCAGAAGGCCACAGGAUAUGUCCCAGGGGGCAUCAAGGAAAAGCCUUGGAUUUACACACAGAGCAUGGACUACCAUCAUUUUGGACAGGUUUAUUUACAUCAGGUAUCAACCAAAAAACAGGCAGUGAAGUUUUACAAGCACUCUUACCCUGCACAGAAUGAAAGAGGGAUAUUGGCAGUAGCCAGGCUUUGAGCAGCCAGCACAAUCCCAUUACUUUUCCUCUCCUGAGGAGUGAUUUUCUUUAUCUGUAUCUGUGACCUGGAUCUUGCUAUUACAACAAUCCUGCUGAAGUUUGCUUUAUUGUGAUGGAAAAGUCAGCAGCAGACCCAUAUCCCCUCAAGGGACACCCUGGUACCAGUCACUCAACCCAUGGUUGUGUUAUAAAACAGCAACCUUCUGCUUUGCUAAUGUGCAGACAUAUGAGCUGUAAGCAAUUUGUAUAAAGUAUUUUAAGAUACCAAGAAAAGAGCAAAACAGCAAAGAUGAGAAACAAUAGCAUACUGUUAAUUUUUGGGUCAUUUAACACAACUCCCGGUAAUUUUCUUAUCUCUGUGCAUCAAGUUUAAAACUGGAAAAAAAAAAAAAAAA
ensembl:lncRNA